rnacentral:lncRNA from 1 species
UUCAUGUAGGGGCACUGACUGGACUGCCUAGAGUUGGAGGAAGGGACCCUUAUGUGUCUCCAGAAGCCUUCCUUCCCAUUCCUAUGGGGUCUGACAGUUGUAGGCAGAAGGCCUGCAGGUCCAGGGCCGAGCAGGGGCCUCCACCAUCUGCUGAGGAACUUACUGUGUUUCUGUUUGAUUGAGCCUGGGCAUGAGAUAAAACACAAGGUCAUCUGCAAUGGCACUGGUGCUGUGGCUGUAUCAGCAUGGCUCUGGAUGUCCCUUCGGGGCAGGCAACUGUUCAGGGAGGACUUUCAAGCAAGCUCUGGAACUUGAAGUCUCAAGAGAUGACAAAUAGUCAAUUCUCAAAAAAUGAAGAAAAGAAAAACUUGUUUCUUCAUGUUUGCUAACCCUAUCUAGAUCUAUGGUUUUGGCCAAUAAAUUCACUGUGUUCAAAUCCUC